GGGGAUUUGGCUCAGUGGUAGAGUGUUUACCUAGGAAGCACAAGGCCCUGGGUUCGGUCCCCAGCUCCG
rnacentral:tRNA from 1 species